AGUGAACGCUGGCGGUAGGCCUAACACAUGCAAGUCGAACGGCAGCACAGUAAGAGCUUGCUCUUACGGGUGGCGAGUGGCGGACGGGUGAGGAAUACAUCGGAAUCUACUUUUUCGUGGGGGAUAACGUAGGGAAACUUACGCUAAUACCGCAUACGACCUACGGGUGAAAGCAGGGGAUCUUCGGACCUUGCGCGAUUGAAUGAGCCGAUGUCGGAUUAGCUAGUUGGCGGGGUAAAGGCCCACCAAGGCGACGAUCCGUAGCUGGUCUGAGAGGAUGAUCAGCCACACUGGAACUGAGACACGGUCCAGACUCCUACGGGAGGCAGCAGUGGGGAAUAUUGGACAAUGGGCGCAAGCCUGAUCCAGCCAUACCGCGUGGGUGAAGAAGGCCUUCGGGUUGUAAAGCCCUUUUGUUGGGAAAGAAAAGCAGCAGGUUAAUACCCCGCUGUUCUGACGGUCCCAAAGAAUAAGCACCGGCUAACUUCGUG
rnacentral:rRNA from 1 species